rnacentral:rRNA from 1 species
GACGAACGCUGGCGGCGGGCUUAACACAUGCAAGUCGAACGGAAAGGCCCUGCUUUUGUGGGGUGCUCGAGUGGCGAACGGGUGAGUAACACGUGAGUAACCUGCCCUUGACUUUGGGAUAACUUCAGGAAACUGGGGCUAAUACCGGAUAGGAGCUCCUGCUGCAUGGUGGGGGUUGGAAAGUUUCGGCGGUUGGGGAUGGACUCGCGGCUUAUCAUCUUGUUGGUGGGGUAGUGGCUUACCAAGGCUUUGACGGGUAGCCGGCCUGAGAGGGUGACCGGCCACAUUGGGACUGAGAUACGGCCCAGACUCCUACGGGAGGCAGCAGUGGGGAAUAUUGCACAAUGGGCGGAAGCCUGAUGCAGCAACGCCGCGUGCGGGAUGACGGACUUCGGGUUGUAAACCGCUUUCGCCUGUGACGAAGCGUGAGUGACGGUAAUGGGUAAAGAAGCACCGGCUAACUACGUG